rnacentral:misc_RNA from 1 species
GAGGCUUGGAUGUCUGCUGGGUUCACAAUGAUUGGGGUGUCAUAGUUGCACUGAAG